CCUACGGGAGACUGCAGUGGGGAAUAUUGCACAAUGGGGGAAACCCUGAUGCAGCGACGCAGCGUGAGUGAAGAAGUACUUCGUUAUGUAAAGCUCUAUCAGCAGGGAAGAAAAUGACGGUACCUGAGUAAGAAGCCCCGGCUAACUCCGUGCCAGCAGCCGCGGUAAAACGUAGGGGGCAAGCGUUAUCCGGAUUUACUGGGUGGAAAGGGAGCGUAGACGGGAGUGCAAGUCUGGAGUGAAAGGCCGGGGGUCAACCCCCGGACUGCUCUGGAAACUGUACGGCUGGAGUGCAGUAGAGGUAAGUGGAAUUCCUAGUGUAGCGGUGAAAUGCGUAGAUAUUAGGAGGAACACCAGUGGCGAAGGCGGCUUACUGGACUGUUACUGACGUUGAGGCUCGAAAGCGUGGGGAGCAAACAGGAUUAGAUACCCCUGUAGUC
rnacentral:rRNA from 1 species